GAUGAACGCUGGCGGCGUGCCUAAUACAUGCAAGUCGAACGGAAAGGCCCUGCUCUUGCUGCUUGCUCGUGUGCCGAAGGGGUGAGUAUCACGCGUGUAACCCCUCCCUGUCUUUCGGAUAACUCUAGGAAACUCGGGCUCUAAUCGGAUAGGAUCUCUUGCUGCACGGUGGUGGUUGGUAAGAUUCGGCGGUUGGGGAUGGACUCGCGGCUUAUCCGCUUGUUGGUGGGGUAGUGGCUUACCAAGGCUUUGACGGGUAGCCGGCCUGAGAGGGUGACCGGCCACAUUGGGACUGAGAGACGGCCCAGACUCCUACGGGAGGCAGCAGUGGGGAAUAUUGCACAAUGGGCGGAAGCCUGAUGCAGCAACGCCGCGUGCGGGAUGACGGCCUUCGAGUUGUAAACCGCUUUCGCCUGUGACGAAGCGUGAGUGACGGUAAUGGGUAAAGAAGCACCGGCUAACUACGUG
rnacentral:rRNA from 1 species